rnacentral:misc_RNA from 1 species
AAACCAAAAUGGCUUAGGCCAUUUGGUGAUGGGAGCCCAAUCUCAAGCUCAGUUCAACUUAUCCCCUGCCAAUUUGAUAUUCACACUCCUGAGUUUAAAAUUCAACAAAAAACAAUGCUACUAAAAGAAUAGGAGAAUUUCUUCCAACAUCCUCAUCCAUUUGUGGAUCCCAGUAGAAGAUAACCUUGUAUAUACCAAGUUAUCACUAUAUUUGCUAUUUUUGGUCAACGCCAGGUUAAACGUAACGUUAAAAAAUGAUAAAAGAAGAGGUAAAUUUGAUUUAAGCUCACUAGUUCUUAAUUUUUGGCUUCAGAAUAUAAUGGCUAGAAAGCAUUUACACAUAUUAGAACAAGCUAUGUAUAGCCUUACUCAUUAAAAAUUUGGAUCAAAGCAGGCAAAUAGUCUCUAUAUAGACAUUAAUUCCCUCAUGCUCAUCAGGCUCUACAUAUCUUUUCAUAUAACUGACCUAGUUCUCAUGAAUCCUCUUUUAUCAAAGCAGCCUCCAAAAUAUCAAAAGCACAAAUGAAAAAACCAACUUUGUUAACUUUUGAAGUAGUUCAAGCUGCUACAACUUCAUAUUUACUACAGUUGAUUCUAUCCAAGAAAACCCUGUUCCGUCUUUCAAAAUCUCUUUUCCACUAAUAUGCAGUUAGUUGGUCACUUUUGAAUGCAUAUCCAGAAAUAAUCCCCACAAUGAUAAUAAUAAUUUUUUUUUUAAAAAAAAAAACUCAUUUUAUUAUCACUGACUACCUUACUAGAUAUGAACUCAUUGGAAGAUCAGAAAUGCCGAAAACAGCUGUACAAUCCAAUAUGAGGGCAUCAUAAAAUAUUGCACCUAAAAGAAUUUACAAAAUACAAAUGUCUAAAUAUAGUUCCAAAAGAUGGAUCUAUAGAAUAUUAGAGCACCAAGCUGCCCACAUAACCAAGGUGACAAGAGUCCUUAAAAUACCAGACCUAUUUUUAUCAAUAAUAAUCUACUUCCUUAAGAGCCCAUUAUUUCCCAGUCUUAAUUCCCUCAAUAUCCACCCAACCCCAUGCAGAAAAAGGGGGAGGCCCUUAAUCUACCAUGGUAUCCACUUUUUGUAAUAAAGAAAAUUUCAUCUCAAAUAUACAUGCAAAAAACAGAACUAGACAUCUUAACAUACCAUACCUGAUGUCAUUGAAGAAUUCUCCCCUUCCCAAGGAACACAAACUCCUCUCCCCCCACCACCCCCAUGGUAUCCACUUUUUGUAAUAAAGAAAAUUUCAUCUCAAAUAUACAUGCAAAAAACAGAACUAGACAUCUUAACAUACCAUACCUGAUGUCAUUGAAGAAUUCUCCCCUUCCCAAGGAACACAAACUCCUCUCCCCCCACCACCC